CUAGUAGUAGUAGUCUAGUAGCCUCGUAGUACAAACAUGGAAGUCUGCACUGUGAUGUCAAGACCACAUCUGACAUCACAAUAACAAACCUGCUGAUGUCAUUGCAGCCAAGCAACUGAACACUCCAGUAUUCCAUGAUACAACUCAAUUUGAACAAUCAACUGAACAUGCUGGGUGCAGAAUAAUGCGAAAGGAGAUAAGCAGUGCCCCACCUGGGAGUUGACCAAUUGACCAUAAUGGAUGCAUAUGGCAGAUUAAGACUAGAUGGGAUGAGUUACCAAAGUAGAAAGCAUGCUUGGGAGAAGUGCUUAGACUCUAGUUUACGAAAAAUUAAAGAGAAGUUGGAUGAAAAAAUGAGCAACAUCCAGCUGGACAUUGAUGCCAGGCUCCAAAGAGUGGAACUGGAAUGUAAUGAAUGGAACUUAGCCACCAUGCUUGAUGAGAAAUUAGACACCAAAAUGGCCAGACCAAGCAGAGAGACAGAGGAGAGGCAACAGAUAUCAUCAAAAGCAGCUAAGAUGAGGACAGAAUGUGAGAGUCAUAAAAAGGACAGAAGAGUAGCCCAUAACCUUGAGGCAGACCAUCACAGAGAGAUGGAAAGAAGGAUCAGAGAGUUAGAAAGAUGGAAAAGAAAGGCAGACAGUGAACGCAUUAGAGAGCAAGGUAGGAGAGAGAAGCAAAAAAGAGAGGACAGUGU